GCUUGAUACGGUGUUAAAGACACAAAGUUCAUCGGAACUAAAUACAAACCAACCAAGAAAAUAAGUUUCACUCCAUCAUUUCAAUAUUCGUUCUAACUGCAACAGUGCCCAUCCCUUCUCUGCAAUUAUAGGAAGAUGACGGUAACUUGGCAAAGAAGUGGUCUACUAAAGAACAUCUCUACCCAAUCCGCAAGCUUGAUCAGUCUAAACUCACAUUAAAAGAAAAGAACUAUGACAAGGUUUUAGUGGUUAUAAGCAAUGAAGAUUCAAGUGAUUGGAUGAACUAGUCUAAAAAGUGAUUUGGAUUUUGAAAGAUUGGCUCUUGAGGGCAAAGAGUAGCUGGAAUCAGAUCUUUAAGUUGCAGGACUAAAUCAAAUGGUUGGUGUUUGAUGGUUAUUCGGAGUGUGGUUUAAUUAUAUUUUGGAGGGUUUAAUUUGAGAGAUUAUAUAAGUUUACCACAAUAUUUAUGUUUAUUGUGCUUGAGUUCAUAUUAGUAGGUUUCUAAAAAAUUGCUCAAGUUUUAAAAAAUUGCUCAAAGUUAUUGUUAUGAUCUAUGUAAAGUAUUAAAACUAUUAAUUUUCAUAUACAUAUUUUGUGGUCUUUGGUGAACUUGCAUUGGGUUAGUGAUGUGGAAUUAAGUUAAUUAAGACCAUUAGGUGUCAAAGCAUAUGAGAAAGUGGAUUACUGAUAUAUGGAUGCGUUUGCAAUUUCUUACAGCAUUAUUCUUGAGAAAUCAAAAGGCAUAUAUUACACCUUUAUGCAAAGCUUUUUUGUGUAAUUGGCCUUAAUUGUUGAUACAUAGUUAAUUUCUUUUUAAUUUAAAAAAGUGUGCUAAUAUCUGGUUUUUGAAGUUAUAAAUAACAAAACAACCCAUAAGAACAUAACUCAUAAUCCAUGUUUGACAUUUAUAGAGAUUUGGAAUAUUGAAGUUCUUCUAGCCACAAGAUCCCAUCUUUUACAUUUAAACCCCCCUUUUCACAGUAGUAAGAAUUUUAUGAAAAAAAUAAUAAGUGCAUGGAUGUGUGCAAUGUGUCCUAAUUAAUAUAUAAUUAAGCCCCUCUUUUUGGGUAAGAAUUCAGUUUAUUACUCCCAAACAUAUACUUGCUAUAGCCAUGUCAUAUCUAUGCCAUGUUACACUGUGUUUGUGUUGUAUCAUACCAUAUUUAUGCUGUAUCCAUGAAAUAUAAGAGUAAUUAAAAUUCUUCUAUAGAUAGGCCAAUAAUAAACUAGAAGUUGGACAUCAUUAUGAAAAAGUUAGAAGUCAUAAAGGAUUUUUUUGGAUUAAAAAAUGAAGUAUGAAAUAAAAAAGAAAUGACUGUGAAAAUAGAUUUCAUGAGAAGAAGUAUUGAUAUGUUUGACUAAAGUUGACCUUUCAAAGAUUUUUCUCUUUUCUAUUUCUCUUUUUUCUUUUUUCACUACAGUCUGUAUACCCAACCAAAUAUUUUAAUAUCUUGCAAGAUUUAGGAUAUUUUUGCUUUAAUGACAUCAUUUUUUGGGUUCCUACUACCCUAAUUAUAUGUUUUAAUUUGAUGCUAUAUUUUAUGAAAAUCAAUAAAGUGUUGUACUUUUCAUGUUUAAUUUGUGGGUAUCUGUUGUAUACACCCUGUGUACAUUAGUGUCUUUUGCCCUAUUUUGUGGACUGCUUCAGGUGCUAUAUCUGACGAAUAGUAUAAAGCUUUUCUCAUGAUUUGUCUGUUCUGUUAAGGGUAAUUGGAACUCUCUCAUAUUUCAUCUUAAUCUCUUAAGGGGUAUAUAGGAUUCCAAUACAAUGAAUUAAUUGCUUUAUGGCAGAUGUUACAAGUGAUCUUAAAUAUGCACAAUUUCCCAUGUCAUCUUCAAUUUGCUUAUGUUAUAUAUAAUUCCCUUACACACGUAUAUUUUUCAACUAAUCAAAUAAUUUAUCAACAUCCUAGGGAAAAUAGGAUUUGGGUGUAUGCUUUUUUAGUAGACUAACAAUGAAGUAUUUCUCGCAACUCAAAGUGAUUUUGGGUGUCUAUUAUUAAUGAGGUCAGUGAUAAUCUCUACUUUUGUUAAAGCUGGAGAAGCUAUUGCUACAUCCACUGCUGUGUUAAGCGGUAGUUCAAACUUUAAACCUCUCUACAAAACUGCUCGGUUUUCACAGAUAGUCUUAGAAGCUUUAUUUCAGCCGUACAGUU